GAUGAAGAACGCAGCGAAAUGCGAUACGUAAUGUGAAUUGCAAAUUCAGUGAAUCAUCGAGUCUUUGAACGCACAUUGCGCCCCCUGGUAUUCCGGGGGGCAUGCCUGUCCGAGCGUCAUUGCUGCCCUCAAGCACGGCUUGUGUGUUGGGCCCCGUCCUCCGAUCCCGGGGGACGGGCCCGAAAGGCAGCGGCGGCACCGCGUCCGGUCCUCGAGCGUAUGGGGCUUUGUCACCCGCUCUGUAGGCCCGGCCGGCGCUUGCCGAUCAACCCAAAUUUUUAUCCAGGUUCACCUCGGAUCAGGUAGGGAUACCCGCUGAACUUAAGCAUAUCAAUAAGCGGAGA
rnacentral:misc_RNA from 1 species